rnacentral:rRNA from 1 species
GGAGUUAGCCGGUGCUUCUUCUGUGAGUGAUGUCCUUCCUGCCGGCUAUUAACCCGCAGGCCUUCUUCCUCACUGAAAGUGCUUUACAACCCGAAGGCCUUCUUCACACACGCGGCAUGGCUGGAUCAGGGUUGCCCCCAUUGUCCAAUAUUCCCCACUGCUGCCUCCCGUAGGAGUCUGGGCCGUGUCUCAGUCCCAGUGUGGCUGAUCAUCCUCUCAGACCAGCUACGGAUCGUCGCCUUGGUGAGCCGUUACCUCACCAACCAGCUAAUCCGACAUAGGCUCAUCCGAUAGCGCGAGGCCCGAAGGUCCCCCGCUUUCCCCCGUAGGGCGUAUGCGGUAUUAGCCUGGGUUUCCCCAGGUUAUCCCCCACUACCGAGCAGAUUCCUAUGCAUUACUCACCCGUCCGCCGCUCGCCACCAGGGAGCAAGCUCCCCGUGCUGCCGCUCGACUUGCAUGUGUUAGGCCUGCCGCCAGCGUUCAAUCUGAACCAAGAUCAAAUUCUGA